CCUACGGGUGGCAGCAGUGAGGAAUAUUGGUCAAUGGGCGCGAGCCUGAACCAGCCAAGUAGCGUGAAGGAUGACUGCCCUACGGGUUGUAAACUUCUUUUAUAGAGGAAUACAGUGAGGCACGUGUGCCUUUUUGUAUGUACUUUAUGAAUACGGAUCGGCUAACUCCGUGCCCGCAGCCGCGGUAAUACGGAGGAUCCGAGCGUUAUCCGGAUUUAUUGGGGUUAGAGGGAGCGUAGACGGGUUGUUAAGUCAGUUGGGAAAGUUUGCGGCUCAAACGUAAAAUUGCAAUUGAUACUGGCAGCCUGGAGUGCAGUUGAGGUAGGCGGAAUUCGUGGUGUAGCGGUGAAAUGCUUAGAUAUCACGAAGAACUCCGAUUGCGAAGGUAGCUUACUAAACUGCAACUGACAUUGAUGCUCGAAAGUGUGGGUAUCAAACAGGAUUAGAUACCCGUGUAGUC
rnacentral:rRNA from 1 species